UGCGGGGUGGAGCAGUCUGNNGUCGGGCUCAUAACCCGAAGGUCAUCGGUUCAAAUCCGGUCCCCGCUACCA
rnacentral:tRNA from 1 species